rnacentral:snoRNA from 1 species
AGAGUUGAGUACUCAGAUUUUUUUGGGUAUUAUAAUUCACGUCUAAAUAUGAAGAUUUGAUG